GGUAAUUCUAGAGCUAAUACAUGCCUAAUACCUCGACUUCGGAAGGGGUGUAUUUAUUAGAUAAAAAACCAAUGCCCUCCGGGGCUCCUUGGUGAUUCAUAAUAACUCAACGAAUCGCAUGGCCUUGCGCCGGCGAUGGUUCAUUCAAAUUUCUGCCCUAUCAACUUUCGAUGGUAGGAUAGUGGCCUACCAUGGUCUUUACGGGUAUCGGGGAAUCAGGGUUCUAUUCCGGAGAGGGAGCCUGAGAAACGGCUACCACAUCCAAGGAAGGCAGCAGGCGCGCAAAUUACCCAAUCCCGACACGGGGAGGUAGUGACAAUAAAUACUGAUACAGGGGUCUUUUGGCUCGUGUAAUUGGAAUGAGUACAAUCUAAAUCCCUUAACGAGGAACAAUUGGAGGGCAAGUCUGGUGCCAGCAGCCGCGGUAAUUCCAGCUCCAAUAGCGUAUAUUAAAGUUGUUGCCGUUAAAAAGCUCGUAGUUGAACCUUGGGCCUGGCUGAUCUGUCCUCCUAAUCGAGCGCACGGAUUCGGUCGGGCCUUUCCUUCUGGGGAGCCCGAUGUCUUUCACUGGG
rnacentral:rRNA from 1 species